UUCUCCGUACAUGUUUUUUUUUGUGUGUGUGUGAAAUUACUAAAAUUUUUUAAUUUGGUUUUUGAGAGAAAAAAUUGAUGUAAUGAAUUGAAUAUUCGAAUUUGGAAGGAAAAGAGAAGAAGGUAUUUAUAGGAGUGAAGGUUCAUGAACUUAGAAAAUGGAUUUUGAAAAUUAUUCAAAUCUAUGUAACAAAAACGGUUUCGGGUUUAAAUUUAAUUAAUUUUGUAAGGAUAUUGGUCUUUGUGCUUAGCUUCUUGGAAGGUUCUUAUGUGUAAAUUGUGAGAGGAUAAGUGGUUGAGUUUUAU
rnacentral:lncRNA from 1 species